AGCAGUCGCCGCGGUAAUACGUAGGUGGCGAGCGUUGUUCGGAAUCAUUGGGCGUAAAGGGAGCGCAGGCGGGCAUGUAAGUCUUUCUUAAGAGUGCGGGGCUCAACCCCGUGAUGGGAAAGAAACUACAUGUCUUGAGUACAGGAGAGGAAAGCGGAAUUCCCAGUGUAGCGGUGAAAUGCGUAGAUAUUGGGAGGAACACCAGUGGCGAAGGCGGCUUUCUGGACUGCAACUGACGCUGAGGCUCGAAAGCCAGGGGAGCGAACAGGAUUAGAUACCCCAGUAGUCCCUGUCUCUUAUACA
rnacentral:rRNA from 1 species